rnacentral:rRNA from 1 species
CCCAUAGAUGUUCUGGGCCGCACGCGCGCUACACUGAUUCAUGCAACGAGUUUUGUCCUUGGCUGAAAGGCCUGGGUAAUCUUUGAACGUGAAUCGUGCUGGGGAUAGAUGAUUGCAAUUAUUCAUCUUCAACGAGGAAUUCCUAGUAAACGCAAGUCAUCAGCUUGCAUUGAUUACGUCCCUGCCCUUUGUACACACCGCCCGUCGCACCUACCGAUUGAAUGGUCCGGUGAAAUCUUCGGAUCUGAGAGAUGUUGGAUUAAUUUCUGACGCCUUUUGGAAAAGUCGCUUAAACCUUAUCAUUUAGAGGAAGGUGAAGUCGUAACA